UACGGGGGGAGCAAGCGUUGUUCGGAUUUACUGGGCGUAAAGGGCGCGUAGGCGGUCGUGACAAGUCACUUGUGAAAUCUCCGGGCUUAACUCGGAACGGUCAAGUGAUACUGUCGGACUAGAGUACAGAAGGGGCAACUGGAAUUCUCGGUGUAGCGGUGAAAUGCGUAGAUAUCGAGAGGAACACCAGUGGCGAAGGCGACUACCUGGCCUGUUCUUGACGCUGAGGCGCGAAAGCUAGGGGAGCAAACGGG
rnacentral:rRNA from 1 species